GACGGAGGGUGCAAACGUUGUUCGGAAUCACUGGGCGUAAAGGGCGCGUAGGCGGACUUGUAAGUCGGGAGUGAAAACUCGGGGCUCAACCCCGAGCCUGCUUCCGAAACUGCGAGUCUUGAGGACCGGAGAGGAAAGUGGAAUUCCUAGUGUAGCGGUGGAAUGCGUAGAUAUUAGGAAGAACACCAGUGGCGAAGGCGACUUUCUGGACGGUUCCUGACGCUGAGGCGCGAAAGCUAGGGGAGCGAACGGG
rnacentral:rRNA from 1 species